rnacentral:rRNA from 1 species
UGGGGAAUAUUGCACAAUGGGCGAAAGCCUGAUGCAGCAACGCCGCGUGAGUGAUGAAGGCCUUCGGGUUGUAAAGCUCUGUCUUCUGGGACGAUAAUGACGGUACCAGAGGAGGAAGCCACGGCUAACUACGUGCCAGCAGCCGCGGUAAUACGUAGGUGGCAAGCGUUGUCCGGAUUUACUGGGCGUAAAGGAUGCGUAGGCGGAUACUUAAGUCAGAUGUGAAAAUCCCGGGCUUAACUUGGGAACUGCAUUUGAAACUGGGUAUCUAGAGUGCGGGAGAGGAAAGUGGAAUUCCUAGUGUAGCGGUGAAAUGCGUAUAGAUUAGGAAGAACACCAGUGGCGAAGGCGACUUUCUGGACCGUAACUGACGCUGAGGCAUGAAAGCGUGGGGAGCAAACA